CAGCCGCCGCGGGAAUACGUAGGGCGCAAGCGUUAUCCGGAAUUAUUGGGCGUAAAGAGCUCGUAGGCGGUUUGUCGCGUCUGCCGUGAAAGUCCGGGGCUCAACCCCGGAUCUGCGGUGGGUACGGGCAGACUAGAGUGAUGUAGGGGAGACUGGAAUUCCUGGUGUAGCGGUGUAAUGCGCAGAUAUCAGGAGGAACACCGAUGGCGAAGGCAGGUCUCUGGGCAUUAACUGACGCUGAGGAGCGAAAGCACGGGGAGCGAACAGGAUUAGAUACCCCCGUAGUCCCUGUCUCUUAUAC
rnacentral:rRNA from 1 species